UUAAACCUGGAUUAGAUACCCCACUAUGCUUCGCCCUAAACAUUGAUAGCUUAACACAAUAACUAUCCGCCUGGAGACUACGAGCAAUAGCUUAAAACCCAAAGGACUUGGCGGUGCUUUAGACCCACCUAGAGGAGCCUGUUCUAUAACCGAUAACCCCCGUUUAACCUCACCCUUCCUAGUCAUUCCCGCCUAUAUACCGCCGUCGCCAGCUUACCCUAUGAAGGCCCCUUAGUAAGCAUAAUUGGUACAGCCCAAAACGUCAGGUCGAGGUGUAGCGUAUGGAAGGGGAAGAAAUGGGCUACAUUCCCUAUUAUAGCGAAUCACGGAUAAUAAAACUGAAACGUGUAUCUAGAAGGAGGAUUUAGCAGUAAGCAGAAAGCAGAGUGUUCUGCUGAAACCGGCCCUGAAGCGCGCACACACCGCCCGUCACCCCU
rnacentral:rRNA from 1 species